AGUGAACGCUGGCGGCGUGCUUAACACAUGCAAGUCGAACGAGAACGGAAUAUAGCUUGCUAUAUUUGUCAGCUAAGUGGCGCACGGGUGAGUAAUGUAUAGAUAACCUGCCCUUAAGAAAGGAAUAACAGUUGGAAACGACUGCUAAUGCCCUAUAUGCCUUUAAUACAUAAGUAUGCAAGGGUAACGCUUUAGUGCUUAAGGAUGGGUCUGUAUGGUAUCAGCUUGUUGGUGAGGUAAUGGCUCACCAAGGCUAUGACGCCUAACUGGUUUGAGAGGAUGAUCAGUCGCACUGGAACUGAGACACGGUCCAGACUCCUACGGGAGGCAGCAGUGGGGAAUAUUGCACAAUGGACGAAAGUCUGAUGCAGCAACGCCGCGUGGAGGAUGACACAUUUCGGUGCGUAAACUCCUUUUAUAUAGGAAGAUAAUGACGGUACUAUAUGAAUAAGCACCGGCUAACUCCGUGCCAGCCGCCGCGGUAA
rnacentral:rRNA from 1 species